AGAGUUUGAUCCUGGCUCAGAUUGAACGCUGGCGGCAUGCCUUACACAUGCAAGUCGAACGGCAGCACGGGAGCAAUCCUGGUGGCGAGUGGCGAACGGGUGAGUAAUGUAUCGGAACGUACCUUUCAGUGGGGGAUAACGUAGCGAAAGUUACGCUAAUACCGCAUAUUCUGUGAGCAGGAAAGCAGGGGAUCGCAAGACCUUGCGCUGAUUGAGCGGCCGAUAUCAGAUUAGCUAGUUGGUGAGGUAAAGGCUCACCAAGGCGACGAUCUGUAGCGGGUCUGAGAGGAUGAUCCGCCACACUGGAACUGAGACACGGUCCAGACUCCUACGGGAGGCAGCAGUGGGGAAUUUUGGACAAUGGGGGCAACCCUGAUCCAGCCAUGCCGCGUGAGUGAAGAAGGCCUUCGGU
rnacentral:rRNA from 1 species